CAGGCGGUUAGAUAAGUNUGAAGUUAAAGGCUGUGGCUUAACCAUAGUACGCUUUGGAAACUGUUUAACUNGAGUGCAGAAGGGGAGAGUGGANUUCCAUGUGUAGCGGUGAAAUGCGUAGAUAUAUGGAGGAACACCGGUGGCGAAAGCGGCUCUCUGGUCUGUAACUGACGCUGAGGCUCGAAAGCGUGGGGAGCGAACAGGAUUAGAUACCCUGGUAGUCCACGCCGUAAACGAUGAGUGCUAGGUGUUAGGCCCUUUCCGGGGCUUAGUGCCGCAGCUAACGCAUUAAGCACUCCGCCUGGGGAGUACGACCGCAAGGUUGAAACUCAAAGGAAUUAACGGGGGCCCGCACAAGCGGUGGAGCAUGUGGUUUAAUUCGAAGCAACGCGAAGAACCUUACCAGGUCUUGACAUCCCGAUGCCCGCUCUAGAGAUAGAGUUUUACUUCGGUACAUCGGUGACAGGUGGUGCAUGGUUGUCGUCAGCUCGUGUCGUGAGAUGUUGGGUUAAGUCCCGCAACGAGCGCAACCCUUAUUGUUAGUUGCCAUCAUUCAGUUGGGCACUCUAGCGAGACUGCCGGUAAUAAACCGGAGGAAGGUGGGGAUGACGUCAAAUCAUCAUGCCCCUUAUGACCUGGGCUACACACGUGCUACAAUGGCUGGUACAACGAGUCGCAAGUCGGUGACGGCAAGCUAAUCUCUUAAAGCCAGUCUCAGUUCGGAUUGUAGGCUGCAACUCGCCUACAUGAAGUCGGAAUCGCUAGUAAUCGCGGAUCAGCACGCCGCGGUGAAUACGUUCCCGGGCCUUGUACACACCGCCCGUCACACCACGAGAGUUUGUAACACCCGAAGUCGGUGAGGUAACCUUUUAGGAGC
rnacentral:rRNA from 1 species